UGCUGCCCCCGUCACCGUCAUUCCCUCCUCUUAUCUGCCUCAAGGGUUUUCACAUGAGAGGCUCAAGGCACAGACUGGCUGGCUUACAGUCGCAGGAGGAGUGGAAGGAGAUGGCUGGCACCCUUGAAUUGUUUUAGAGAUGUGUGUGGAGGAGGGCGAGGACGAGGACGAGGAGGAGGAGGAAAGCUGAAGAGUAAGAAUGAGUCAUUGGCCUGACUCCUAACGCGAGGAAGGGAGCCUUGAAGGGUUGGCUUAAAGCCUUGAAGAAGCUGCUUGGAUGGAGGAGGAGCAGACGCUUUGAGGCCAAAGACUGAGUUCCCCAAACCUCAGGGCUGGUUUGCCUGUGAGCUAGCCCUAGUCCUGGUCAUUCACAUAGCACCCCACAAGUUUUGCCAUAUCGUCAUAUUCCCAAUACUCUUUCAUGUUUUUCUUCAAGCCAGCUCACGUUUUCACUGAAAGCAGUUCGUUUCAGCACUAUCUACUUAGCUUUGUCCUAAUGCAGUCAGGGGUUAGGUGCACUACUCAUGUAUAUAUUUUUCUAAUCCACAUUAAAAUAAAUAUCGAGUAAAAUAAAAACCAAAAACUUCACUGGCCCACCUAUCACCACGGAUUCACGCACUUUACUUUGGGAAGCACCCCCCUGGCUCAUACAGAGCGUAUCACAUAA